UUUCUGUGCUCUGGUCUUGUAGCUGGUGGCCUGGGAGAUGCUUUGGGUGCUGGAAGCUAAGGCUGCUCCUGGAACCUCUAAAACAGCGGCAGAAUACAAAUCAACCCACCCCAUGCACAGACGGCUGGGAUCCUUUGAGACUCUUGUUUUAUGGAUGAAAUAAAUUCAGCCAAUGGGGAAUGGAAGGCACACAUAAAUAAUACAUAGCAAUAGCAAUAUUGGUUUUAUUUGGAAAAAAAAGAAAAAAGAAAUGGAAUCUGCCUUGGAGACAGAGCCAGGCUGGAGGCAGCCACAGUGAAGAUGAGGGUGAUGCACCACAAUGAAGACUUCGUGUUACGUAGUGAGGACCACAAAGCGGCCACACCAUCCUCGUCCAGAUGUGCUGGAGGAACACCAAACUGAAUGGGCAUUUUCAACACAUGGUCAAGGAACAGACCCCCUCUCAAGGUUACUUCCCAUCCACACGUUCAGGACUCCCAGGCAGCACAGGAUCCUGCUCCUCAUGUCUCUGCAGCUUCUCUUCCACCUCUGUUGCCAUAAGGCAGCUGUGAGCACUAAGUGAUGUUCUGCACCACUGGUCUAAGCAUGAGCAAUGUGGAUUUGCCUGUCCUUAGCAACCGGAGAUGUGGGGUCUGACUUCAGUCAAUUGAUUUUUGACGAGGAUCGCAGCCACUUUGCCUGGCUGGAAUUGGAUGCGCUGGGAGUCUCUUGGUCCAUGAAUGAACAAUUGUACUAACAGUAAGGACACAAAGGCAGCAGAUUUCAGGCUGUCGCGGGUAGCAGUAGCAGUCAAUCACCUGCAUGAAGGGUUUGUGUUACAGUAAAUCCUCCUGCGCUGUGGAGUGAAAGCAUCCUGCUCCCAGCCCCAGCAGUAACUUGUUUCUUGAUGAAACUCCGCUGGCCCCUGGUUUCCCAUGGGAAACCAUUGCACUCUAGCUCUGUAAUCUGUGAUCAAAAUGAAGGAACGCAACCUUGGCAAAGGGAGUGCUUUGGGAUGUAAACUCCCCCGGUGCCCACUUGCUGUUCUACACUCUUACUCUGAUGAAUGAGCAU
rnacentral:lncRNA from 1 species